rnacentral:rRNA from 1 species
AACGAACGCUGGCGGCAUGCCUAACACAUGCAAGUCGAACGAGACCUUCGGGUCUAGUGGCGAACGGGUGCGUAACGCGUGGGAACCUGCCUUUAUGUUCGGCAUAACUCCCCGAAAGGGGUGCUAAUACCGGAUAAUGUUUUCGGACCACAGAUGUAUCGACUUUGGUUGUGCCCGCGUUGGAUUAGCUAGUUGGGAGGGUAAAAGCCUACCAAGGCGACGAUCCAUAGCUGGUUUGUGAGGAUGAUCGGCCACACUGGGACUGAGACAGGGCCCAGACUCCUACGGGAGGCAGCAGUUGUGAAUAUUGGACAAUGGGCGAAAGACUGCUCCAGCAAUGCCGCGUGAGUGAUGAAGGCCUUAGGGUUGUAUAGCUCUUUUACCCGGGAUGAUAAUGACAGUACCGGGAGAAUAAGCUCCGGCUAACUCCGUG